rnacentral:rRNA from 1 species
AUGGAGAUGGAAGGCAAGAGGAGUGUGAUCCUCCUCCUGGUCCUGGGUGCGGUCCUCGUGCUAGGGACCUUGCUGCCACAGGUCCAAGCAGAGGCGGCCGCUGACCCUGGCGACGACGACGACGACGAUCACCGGAAGGUGUGCUGCCACGACAAGGAAGCGAGCUAUUGCUUCUCCUUCUGCACCCACGGCAGCUCCACCCCCAAGCUCAGAACAUGGUGCGCGGACAACUGCUGCUGUGUGCUCACCAUGGACUCAACAUGUCCGCCUCGCUGCACAAGCUCCAGCCUCACGUUCACCAACCAUGCUGCAGUGCCCUCCGGCUUGCUGCCACCGGCCCAAGCAGAGGCCGCCGCCACUGGUGGUGACAGAAAGAAGAUCUGCUGCCACGACGAGGACGAGAGCCUUUGCCUCUCCGGCUGCCUCGAACAGCACGGCUCCGGUGACGCCGCCAGAACGUCGUGCGCGCGGGACUGCUGCUGCGUGUUUACAUGGAGCGCAACAUGCCCGCGCCGUUGCAAAAGCUCCAACCUUCUUCUCACCAACACAGUUAUAGUGGACGGCAGCGAAGACACGAGAGGCGGUGCCGCUUAA